rfam:Schistosoma rodhaini strain Burundi genome assembly, scaffold: SROB_scaffold0000285
AUCCAACUGAUGAGUCCCAAAUAGGACGAAACGCGCUUCAUGGAU